rnacentral:rRNA from 1 species
UACGUAGGGUGCAAGCGUUGUCCGGAAUUAUUGGGCGUAAAGAGCUCGUAGGCGGUCCGUCACGUCGGGCGUGAAAACCCAGGGCUCAACCCUGGGCCUGCGUUCGAUACGGGCGGACUAGAGUUCGGUAGGGGAGACUGGAAUUCCUGGUGUAGCGGUGAAAAUGCGCAGAUAUCAGGAGGAACACCGGUGGCGAAGGCGGGUCUCUGGGCCGAUACUGACGUGAGGAGCGAAAAGCGUGGGGGAGCAAAACAGG